rnacentral:tRNA from 1 species
CUCAAUAGCUAAGCGGAUAACGUGGUGGCGUUUAAAGCGAUCGGUACUGGGUUCGAGUCCUAGAGUGAACA